rnacentral:tRNA from 1 species
UGGCCCCACCCACCCUUAGCGAC